rnacentral:lncRNA from 1 species
AGUUCAUCGACUUUAUAGCAAUGGUUAGAAUAUAUAGAAUAAGAUAAUUCCAUAUAUCUUUAGACUAAAGCAUUGAGAGAUUUCUUAAUUUGAGCAUCAUUUUCCAACUUUGUGAGGAAAAGGACGUCCAAGCAUCAAUUGUGAUGACCGCCGGGCUUCACGCCUCCAGGUAGAAGGCCAGGCCCGCGAAGGCUGUCCUGGCCCAAAAACCUAGGAAGCUUCACUGAUGGGUCGGUCCGACUUCUUCGGCCCUGAUAUAGUCUCAGAAAGCGGACCGGGUCACUCGCAAGUCCAGGUACACCAACUACGAGCUCAGCCCAGUGACGUGACAUGAAGAAAGACAGCAGGUCUAGUCACCUCGUAGCUUUGCCUGCAUGCGCACCGAGGGAAUUAAAUGACCGCCUGGCAUGGAGAGGACGUCUGACGCCGUUCGUACUUACGAACCUGUUCAACAAAGACAUGUGACACUGUAGCAGAGAGGCCAUUAGGCAUUGCUAGCGGACAAAGGGAAAAAUAAUAAAAGGGGAGGAACACCCUCCUCUCCACCUAAACUUACACAACCAUUGUAAACCCUAUUCUCUAGACCUGUUCGUAAACUUACGCCGUUCGUACUUAUGGACCUGUUCAGCAGAGACAUGUGACACUAUAGCAGAGAGGCCAUUAGACAUUGCUAGCGGACAAAGGGAAAAAUAAUAAAAGGGGAGGAACACCCUCCUCUCCACCUAAACUUACACAACCAUUGUAAACCCUAUUCUCUGGACCUGUUCGUAAACUUACGCCGUUCGUACUUAUGGACCUGUUCAGCAGAGACAUGUGAUACUGUAGCAGAGAGGCCGUUAGGCAUUGCUAGCGGACGAAGGGAAAAAUAAUAAAAGGGGAGGAACACCUUCCUCUCCACCUAAAUUUACACAAUCAUUGUAAACUCUAUUCUCUGGAUCGCAAAACAUUAGAUUGAUGUGAAGAUUAUAAAAUUAAAUGCAAUAUUUUAU